UAGGGAAUAUUGGUAAUCUGGGAAACCGGGAACCAGCAACGCCGCGUGCGCGAUGAAGGCCUUCGGGUUGUAAAGCGCUUUUUGAGAGGAUGAGGAAGGACAGUACUCUUAGAAUAAGCCUCGGCUAACUACGUGCCAGCAGCCGCGGUAAAACGUAGGAGGCGAGCGUUAUCCGGAUUUACUGGGCGUAAAGCGCGUGCAGGCGGCUCGAUAAGUUGGAUGUGAAAGCGCCCGGCUUAACUGGGAGAGGUCGUUCAAUACUGUCGGACUAGAGGAUGAGAGAGGGAGGUGGAAUUCCGAGUGUAGUGGUGGAAUGCGUAGAUAUUCGGAGGAACACCAGUGGCGAAAGCGGCCUCCUGGCCCAUUUCUGACGCUCAGACACGAAGGCUAAGGUAGCAAACG
rnacentral:rRNA from 1 species